rnacentral:rRNA from 1 species
GGGGAAUUUUGGACAAUGGGGGCAACCCUGAUCCAGCCAUCCCGCGUGUGCGAUGAAGGCCUUCGGGUUGUAAAGCACUUUUGGCAGGGAAGAAACAGCCUGGGCUAAUAUCCCGGGCGACUGACGGUACCUGCAGAAGAAGCCCCAGCCAACUACGUGCCAGCAGCUGCGGUAAUACGUAGGGGGCGAGCGUUAUUCGGAAUUACUGGGUGUAAAGGGUAUGUAGGCGGCCCUUCAAGUCGCGUGUCAAAGUCCAGUGCUCAACGCUGGGUGUGCACGCGAUACUGACGGGCUUGAGGGCUGGAGAGGUGAGCGGAAUUCCCGGUGUAGUGGUAAAAUACGUAGAGAUCGGGAGGAACAACAGCGGCGCAGGCGGCUCACUAGACAGUUUCUGACGCUAAGAUACGAAAGCGUGGGGAGCAAACA